AACGUAGGAGACAAACGUUAUCCGGAGUUACUGGGCGUAAAGGGCGUGUAGGCGGUUUGUUAAGUCUGGCGUGAAAGCUCUCGGCUAAACCGGGAGAGGUCGUUGGAUACUGGCAAACUAGAGGAUGGUAGAGGCGUGUGGAAUUCCGGGUGUAGUGGUGAAAUGCGUAGAUAUCGGGAGGAACACCAGUGGCGAAGGCGGCGACCUGGGCCAAUAUUGACGCUGAGGUGCGAAAGCGUGGGGAGCAAACAGG
rnacentral:rRNA from 1 species